UAGCAAGAAAAUUUUUUAAAUUAAAUUUCUCGAAACCUAAGGAGCUACCUUAAUUUUGGUUUAGCCUUAAGUAAAGGUGAGUGUAGCAUAACUCUAUUUAAAAAUUAAGGUAGAAAUUAAAUGUUAUUCGUCUUAGGUGAUAGCUAGUUAUAAUAUAAAGAUAUAUAAGUAUUGGGUGUAAUUUUAUUAUGUGCUUAUGUUAUGUACAUAAUGAUUUAUUUUCUUGAUUAUGCGAGGGUAAGCUCACAUAAAUUUAAUUUAGCUAAAAUUAUAUAUAAAUCUAAGCUUGGGAUUAGCUAUGAUAACGAAUUUGUUAAAAAUACAUAUGUAUAUAAAAACUUUGUAAUAUAUUAAAUUUAUAUUAUUUAAUCAUGUAAUUAUGGUGUGAUUAAUUUAUGCUAAAAUGAGUAUUAUUAUAGAUUAAAACAAAAAAUAAAUUAAAUUUUUUUAAAAAUUUUUUAUAGAUAUUAUAAAAUAUAUCAUAGGAACUCGGCAAAACUUAGCUCCGCCUGUUUAGCAAAAACAUGUCUCUUUG
rnacentral:rRNA from 1 species